rfam:Camelus ferus unplaced genomic scaffold scaffold2353, whole genome shotgun sequence.
GAGGGUAUAGCUUUAGUGGUAGAGUGCAGGCUUAGCAUGCCUGAAAUCCUAGAUUCAAUUCCCAGUACCUCCU